rnacentral:rRNA from 1 species
UACGAAGGGGGCUAGCGUUGCUCGGAAUGACUGGGCGUAAAGGGCGCGUAGGCGGUUCAUACAGUCAGAUGUGAAAUUCCCGGGCUUAACCUGGGGGCUGCAUUUGAUACGUAUGGGCUUGAGUGAGGAAGAGGGUUGUGGAAUUCCCAGUGUAGAGGUGAAAUUCGUAGAUAUUGGGAAGAACACCGGUGGCGAAGGCGGCAACCUGGUCCUUUACUGACGCUGAGGAGCGAAAGCCAGGGGAGCAAACGGG